rnacentral:tRNA from 1 species
GUGGAUAUAACUCAGUGGUAGAGUACUUGCCUAGCAUGCAUGAGGCCCUAGAUUCAAUCCCCAAUACCACA